rfam:Homo sapiens chromosome 3, GRCh38 reference primary assembly.
GCCAGGCAUGGUGGUGGGCGCCUGUAAUCCCUGCUACUCAGGAGGCUGAGGCAGGAGAAUCGCUUGAACCCAGGAGGCAGAGGAUGCAGUGAGCCGAGAUUGUGCCACUGCACUCCAGCCUGGGUGACAGAGCGAGACCCUGUCUCAA